rnacentral:lncRNA from 1 species
AACAAAAGAAAAUACUACAAGACGCCUGCCUGAUACAUACGAGUCUUUGAAAACACGAUUUAUCGGAAAUUUUCGAUCGAUCUGGUAAAAAGUUCUGAUACAAUUAAUAAGGUAGGUUACAGAUUUCCAUCAGUUCGUUAGGAAUUAAAUCGAAGAGGCAAGUGGAUAACCGUUAUAAACAAAAAAAAGUAACUAACAUAACCUUAUCGAUGGUUCGCCAUUGUCUCUUAAACCAUGGCAUACUUUAUGCAGUGUACAUUUUAUCGGUGGCAAAAAAUCAGAUGACGAAAACAGUCUUAGUUACGUCCCACAAAGUUUCAUGGCACGCAAAAAGAUAAAACUUGAAGUUACCAUACUAGAGCCAAAAAUACAGAUAAUUGAAAAUGUUAAUGAAACAAAUUCAGAUGAAUCUUUACUGGUCGAUGAAGAAUACAAAGUAAAUGUGCCAUUCGAUAUUAAAUAUAUAGAAUCCACAUUUACUUAUUAUAGAUAUAUUGAUAAUAAUUACUGCGAUGCUGGAAUCAAAGUGGAACUACCAACAAAUCCAAAUAAUGUAGUAAAUAGUACUUGCCAAAUAAAGGAUCUGUGUUGCGAUGAAGAAACGAAAAA